rnacentral:rRNA from 1 species
UACGGAGGGUGCGAGCGUUGUCCGGAAUCACUGGGCGUAAAGGGCGCGUAGGCGGCCCGGCAAGUCAGUGGUGAAGGCCCGAGGCUCAACUUCGGGUCGGCCACUGAUACUGCUAGGCUUGAGUCGACUAGAGGCAGAUGGAAUUCCGGGUGUAGCGGUGGAAUGCGUAGAGAUCCGGAAGAACACCGGGUGGCGAAGGCGGUCUGCUGGGGUCGAACUGACGCUGAGGCGCGACAGCGUGGGGAGCAAACAGG